rnacentral:rRNA from 1 species
AUUGAACGCUGGCGGCAUGCUUUACACAUGCAAGUCGAACGGCAGCGCGGGCUUCGGCCUGGCGGCGAGUGGCGAACGGGUGAGUAAUGCAUCGGAACGUGCCCAGUAGUGGUGGAUAGCCCGGCGAAAGCCGGAUUAAUACCGCAUACGACCUGAGGGUGAAAGCUGGGGACCGAAGGGCCUCGCGCUCUUGGAGCGGCCGAUGUCGGAUUAGCUAGUUGGUGGGGUAAAGGCUUACCAAGGCGACGAUCCGUAGCUGGUCUGAGAGGACGACCAGCCACACUGGGACUGAGACACGGCCAAGACUCCUAAGGGAGGCAGCAGUGGGGAAUUUUGGACAAUGGGGGCAACCCUGAUCCAGCCAGGCCGCGUGCGGGAAGAAGGCCUUCGGGUUGUAAACCGCUUUUGUUGGGGAAGAAAUGCUCUGGGCUAAUACCCCGGGGGGAUGACGGUACCGGAAGAAUAAGCACCGGCUAACUACGUG